rnacentral:tRNA from 1 species
GGGGAUGUAGCUCAGUGGCAGAGUACUUACUUUGAAUGCAUGAGGCACUCACUGGGUUCAAUCCCAGUACCCCUC